rnacentral:rRNA from 1 species
GACGUAGGGCGCGAGCGUUGUCCGGAUUUAUUGGGCGUAAAGAGCUCGUAGGCGGCUUGUCGCGUCGUCCGUGAAAACCUGCAGCUCAACUGCAGGCUUGCGGUCGAUACGGGCAGGCUGGAGUUCGGUAGGGGAGACUGGAAUUCCUGGUGUAGCGGUGAAAUGCGCAGAUAUCAGGAGGAACACCGGUGGCGAAGGCGGCGACCUGGGUAGAUACUGACGCUGAGGUGCGAAAGCGUGGGGAGCAAACAGG